UGCACGAAGACAGUGACGGCAAAUCCCUACAGAAAGGCUAAAAAAAAGACAUUUCACCCAGUGUGAAAUGGAAGUUCUUGUAGGGGAGGUUGAAGCAAGAUUUUUUUGGGGGUGGACACAGUGUGGGCAUUACAAAUGCCAAAAAGGCGUUAGUGGCAGCAUGUGGCGGACUCUGUGAAUGCUGUUGGCUCAGAAGGUCAGACCCUCUCAGAAAAAAAAGACGUGGUCCGACAUAAAAGUGGAGGCCAAAAGGCACAUAUCCUUACACAGACAAGGUGUUUGUGCCACGGGAUAAACACCUUGUCUGUGUAAGGAUAUGUGCCUUUUGGCCUCCACUUUUAUGUCGGACCACGUCCGAGUGGAGUAGCGACGGAGGUGGAGGGGGACACGAACAUGCAAGACGCACGGGAUGAUCCAAUCGCUGUGUGUUCCAGCGGGGUUGGUGGUGCUGCAGCUGAGCAGGAGCUGAGUGUUCCACCGCGGGGGUGGUGCUGCAGCUGAGCAGGAGCUGAGUGUUCCACCGGGGGGGUGGUGCUGCAGCUGAGCAGGAGCUGAGUGCGCCCAGCCCCGGGGUCUCCACUGCACCUCGUGCGUCACAACCCUCCAGCGGCCGUGUCCUCACAGAUGCAGUCCUGCAAACACAUUGACGCUAUUAACGAGGUUGCCAAGGAGUUGAAGUGGGACAAGCACUGCUUGGUUUCUGCGGGUGCUUCUCUGUAAAGCUGGGCCCAGUACAGCACAGAUCCAAAAGAACAGCUCUUGGUAAUUGGAACCGGCUCAUAAGCACUCCUCAUCAUUGGCCAGUAAAUCUUGCUGGUCUCUGAAAAUUCGCUCUCUCCGAAUUCUUCCAUUCAAAUAUUCCAACUGUGCCAAAGCAACCAUUGUGUGUCAUUACUCAUUGUAAUUGCAGACCUUUUUACUGUCUUACUGUUCACUUUAUUAUUUAUGAGAAUAAAUGUCAUAACAUGCAAGUAUUGUUUAAUAAUUACAUAUCCAUUUACAUAUGAUUCCUGAUUAAACUGUACAACAUA